rnacentral:rRNA from 1 species
UACGGGGGGGGCAAGCGUUGUUCGGAAUUACUGGGCGUAAAGGGCUCGUAGGUGGCCAACUAAGUCAGACGUGAAAUCCCUCGGCUUAACCGGGGAACUGCGUCUGAUACUGGAUGGCUUGAGUUUGGGAGAGGGACGCGGAAUUCCAGGUGUAGCGGUGAAAUGCGUAGAUAUCGGAAGGAACAUCAGUGGCGAAAGCGGCUUCCUGGUCCAGCACCGACGUUCAGGCACGAAAGCGUGGGGAGCAAACAGG